rnacentral:misc_RNA from 1 species
AUUAUUAUUAUUAUUAUUAUGUGCUUGCUGAUUUUAAUAUUAAGGCUAAUUAUCUAAAAUAUCCUGAAUUUUGCUCCAUUUUUUAAUAUCGCAUUAAGCAUUCAAUCAUAAUCUUAUCUGCUUAAUAGAAGGAGGUUCAAUUGUCACACCAAUUCUUCCUGUUAGCAACUUCUUGAUAAGGAUGAUUGCAUCACAUACAUUUCUUUUAUUUCAUGCUUCCAAUAGUUCCUUUCCAGUUGACUGUUUGAGUGAUCAUUUCUACACUAGAUAUGCACAUAAGUUUCUGGUGAUUAAUCUAAUAAAUUAAAAAGAAAAGGUGUCUCAAUGCACACCUUUUCUACGCAAAGAGACUGCUUCCACGACAGAAACUUGUGACCUUCCGGUCAUAAAAGAGCAAACUCAUCAUUGCAACAAGACUGACUCUCUCAUGUGUUUCUGUCACCUUUCCAUAUUUUUGAUGGUUGCACAUUGCCUGUGAGCUGUGAUGACUAAUGCACAUCAUUUUCACUAGUUGUUAAGAAGACUGUAACAUAUAAACUUAGAUUUAGUCCUGCUUUUAGGCAUUUGGUAGCUGGCAUGUAUUUGGGUUGUUCUUAUAAGCAAUUCCAAAUUGUCAGAGGUUGUUCUAUCCUACCUAACCUAAAUCUUUAAGCUCAAACAGACCAUAAAAUAUGGAUCUCCCACGUGAUUAGGAUAUGAGAAUGUUAUAUUAGCAACAUGAUUGGGGAAACAGCUCCUGUUUUGACUCAGUUUUAAAGGAAAAAGAAAUCUCUUAAACAUACAAGUUAUUGAAUUCCAAAUUUCUAUUUUUGCCAUUUUCUUUAAAUUUUUUUAGAAGCAUAUAGGAGGAUAUGGAAUUCUUUUAAAAGCACAUAAUUUUCUUAAGUAAAAUAAUGUUGGUUUAGAACCUUAGAGCCAUUUUACAAAGUCAAAUGUUUGAUACACCAGAUAAUGAACUCUUUGGAGUCAAUAAUUAAAAUUUCCCUGUAAUAUGUUGGCAGGUAUUGGAAGUAAUGCAAGAGGGGGAAAUGGACAAAGAAAGGUGGAAAAUGCCAAUGGAAGAAGAACAAGAAGAAGAAUUCUGGGGAUUUGAAGAUCUAGAAUGUGAAUGUGAUAGCUCCUUCUCAAUUUCUCCACACGAUUCAAUCUCGACAAAAAGUUCUUUAACCGUGAUGCAUUAGGGAAGCAGCCAUAUUUUACCAGCACGGAAUUGCAGAUGAGGUCUCGAGUUCUAGUCUCAGACCGUCUUUAAAGAAAAGAAAAGACUUGUAAUGCAUUAGGUGCUCAAGUAAAUCCUGACCAACGCAUUAUGCGGCUUGUAAAUACAUCAUAUAUGUUACAUAAAAGAAGUCUUUUUAGUUGCAAUCCUCAUUGAUUUAUGCAUGACAUGAUUUUACUGCUUUUAGAACUUGA